rnacentral:rRNA from 1 species
AUACGGAGGAUCCGAGCGUUAUCCGGAUUUAUUGGGUUUAAAGGGUGCGCAGGCGGGAGAUUAAGUCGGCGGUGAAAUUUUGCAGCUCAACUGUAAAAGUGCCUUCGAAACUGGGUUCCUUGAGUGUAGAUGAAGUAGGCGGAAUUUGUGGGGUAGCGGUGAAAUGCAUAGAUAUCACGAGGAACUCCGAUUGCGCAGGCAGCUUACUAAACUACUACUGACGCUCAGGCACGAAGGCGUGGGGAUCAAACAGGAUUAGAUACCCUGGUAGUCCACGCAGUAAACGAUGAUUACUAGCUGUUUGCGAUACAAUGUAAGCGGCUGAGCGAAAGCGUUAAGUAAUCCACCUGGGGAGUACGUUCGCAAGAAUGAAACUUAAAGGAAUUGACGGGG